rnacentral:rRNA from 1 species
UGGUGGGGUGGCCUGUCUGCUUAAUUGCGAUAACGAACGAGACCUUAACCUGCUAAAUAGCCCGCAUUGCUCCGGCAGUGCGCUGGCUUCUUAGAGGGACUUUCGGCUCAAGCCGAAGGAAGUUUGAGGCAAUAACA